rnacentral:rRNA from 1 species
GACGAACGCUGGCGGCGUGCUUAACACAUGCAAGUCGAACGGAAAGGCCCUGCUGUUGGCGGUUGCUCUAGCGGCGAACGGGCGGGUAACACGUGAGUGACCUACCCCCUGCUUUGGGGUAAUUUCUGGUGACUAGGGUUAAUACCGGAUAGUAACUCCUGCUGACUGGUGGGGGUGGGAUAGUUUCGGCGGUUGGGGGUGGAUUCGCGGCUGAUCUGCUUGUUGGGGGGGUGGUGGCUUUCCCAGGCUUUGCCGGGCAGCCGGCCUGUGAGGGUGACCGGCGUCAAGGCGACUGAGAGACGGACCAGACUGCUACGGGGGGCAGCAGGGGGGAGUAUUGCGCAAUGGGCGGAAGCGUGAUGCAGCAGCGCCGCGGUCGGGAUGACGUCCUUCGGGUUGUAAACCGCGUUCGCCUGUGACGAAGCGUGAGUGACGGUAAUGGGUAAAGAAGCACCGGCUAACUACGUG